rnacentral:rRNA from 1 species
AAGAAUAUUAGUCAAUGCUCGCAAGAGUGAACUAGCUAAUUGAAAUCAUACAAUGUUAGUCAGGUGUGAAAAGUAUAAGGAAAAUAAUGAUAUUACUUAUAUUUUAAGUGUUGUCCAAAACUGGUGCCAGAAGACUCGGUAAGACCAGAAACGCAAACGUUAAUCAUCAUAAACAGGCGUAAAGGGUAUGUAGGCUGCUUUAAACUAAUUAUAGUUAAUAACCGGACAUAAUUACAAUUAAAGCUAGAAUCUAAAAGGGGAUAAGCCAAAGAAUAGAUAGUGUAGGGCUGAUAUCCUUAAAUACUAUUUAGAAUACUAAAGGUGAAAACUUUUAUCUAAUAAAGAUUGACGCUGAGAUACGAAAGGGAGGAUAGGAAACAGGAUUAGAUACCCCAGUACCCCUCCCCGUCAACGAUGAAUGGUAGCUAUUAAUACUAUGAUUAAUAGCGAUGUUAACACGAUAACCAUUCCGCCUUGUGAGUACAACUUCACAGUUGAAAACAAAAAAAUUAGUCGGUUUCGAAGCAAACGGAGUGAAGCAUGUUAUUUAAUUCGAU